UGUGACCUCAAAUCAGGUAGGACUACCCGCUGAACUUAAGCAUAUCAAUAAGCGGAGGAAAAGAAACUAACAAGGAUUCCCCUAGUAACUGCGAGUGAAGCGGGAAAAGCUCAAAUUUAAAAUCUGGCGGUCUUAUGGCUGUCCGAGUUGUAAUCUAGAGAAGUGUUAUCCGCGCUGGACCGUGUACAAGUCUCCUGGAAUGGAGCAUCAUAGAGGGUGAGAAUCCCGUCUUUGACAUGGACUGCCAGGGCUUUUGUGAUGCGCUCUCAAAGAGUCGAGUUGUUUGGGAAUGCAGCUCAAAAUGGGUGGUAAAUUCCAUCUAAAGCUAAAUAUUGGCGAGAGACCGAUAGCGAACAAGUACCGUGAGGGAAAGAUGAAAAGAACUUUGGAAAGAGAGUUAAACAGUACGUGAAAUUGCUGAAAGGGAAACGCUUGAAGUCAGUCGCGUCGUCCAGGGAUCAACCUUGCUUUUGCUUGGUGCACUUUCUGGUUUGACGGGUCAGCAUCAAUUUUGACUAUUGGAAAAAUAUUGAGGGAAUGUGGCAUUUUCGGAUGUGUUUAUAGCCCUUGAUUGCAUACAAUGGUUGGGAUUGAGGAACUCAGCACGCCGCAAGGCCGGG
rnacentral:rRNA from 1 species